UCCGACCGCGGCGCUAGGGGGCGGGGCCAGCGAGCGGUGUUGAAAGCAGCAGGGGCCUAGAAGACAUUAAACCGAUACCACAGAAAUACAAAGGAUCAUUAGAGACUAUUAUGAACAACUAUAUGCCAACAAAUUGGAAACCAAAUGGAAAUGGAUAAAUUCCUGAACAGAUACAACUUACCAAAAUUGGACCAAGAAGAAAUAGAAAACCUGAAAAGACCAACUAUGAGUAAUGAGAUUAAAUCAGUAAUAUAGAGUCUCCCAUCAAAGAAAAGUCCAGGCCCUGAUGGCUUCACUGCUGAAUUCUACUGAACAGUUAAAGAAGAACUCAUACCAGUUCUCAAACUCAUCCUGUGAGGGCAGCAUUACCCUGAUACCAAAACUAGAUAUGGACACAAGAAAAAAAAUCUAUAGGCCAGUAUCCCUGAUGAACAUAGAUGCAAGAAUCCUCAACAAGACCAGGUGUGGUGGUUCAUGCCUGUAAUCCCAGCACUUUGGGAGGCCAAGGCAGGUGGAUCACCUGAGGUCAGGAAUUUGAGACCAGCCUGGCCAACAUGGCAAAACCCUGUCUGUACUAAAAAUACAAAAAUUAGCCGGGCAAGGUGGCGUGUGCCUGUAAUCCUAGCUACUUGGGAGGCUGAGGCAGGAGAAUUGCUUGAACCUGGAGGGAGGAGGGGCAGAAGUUGCAGCGAGCUCAGAUCGUCCCACUGCACUCCAGCCUGGGUGACAGAGUGAGACUCCAUCUCAAAAUAAGUAAAUAAAUAAAGAGACUCAACUAGCAUAAAUGAAUUGCAAGUGUUUUAUAGUAUAUAAUGAGCACAACAAAAGUAUCAAUAUAUUACAUGGAAAUACAUUUUUCAAAGCUGGAUCUUUAGCUUCCAAGGAUUAAGGAGAAUUUUGUUACUGAGUUGGUUCUUAAUUUAGGCUCUGCACCUGAGACCUAGAGUCCCCUGGGAUUUGGGUCCGAGGACUGGCAUUACCUUUGUAGGUGGCUCUUGGCAACUAGCACUGUCUAAGAUCUUAACAUUUGCAAAUGAAGCCUUAAAACAUGUCCCAAAAGUAUGGAAAGUGGGCCGAUUUCAACACAACCAUUACCUGUUCCUGGUAGCUGACCAACUAGGAGAUUUCAGAGGUCAAGUGGGACAGAGCAGGGUAGGGAAUUUUUUUUUAAGCUUUAUUAUAAAACAGGUAACUUUGUCCCUAUCUUAAGAAUUUGGAACUGAGGCUAUAGGUCACUCAAUGAUCAAAUAAUGAAAGGUCUGCUUCAACUGGACUACUUAAUAUUUCACAUUUACCUUUUUGACUAGAAAUAACUGAUGAAAGUUCACUUAGUUUGGUGGGAAAUAAGAGAUACAAAGAUAUCUUCUCCAGGAUGAGACUCCCAAAAGCAAAUGUUCUCUGAGUACCUCUGUCGCUCAAAUUUAAGCCCUUUGGAGUUCCUUUGAGCAUGGUUCUGCCCUCAUAUUUCUGAUCACUCCCUCUAGACUCCUACUCAACUUCUC
rnacentral:lncRNA from 1 species